CCUACGGGAGGCAGCAGUCGAGAAUCAUUCACAAUGGGGGAAACCCUGAUGGUGCGACGCCGCGUGGGGGAAUGAAGGUCUUCGGAUUGUAAACCUCUGUCAUGUGGGAGCAAAUUAAAAAGAUAGUACCACACGAGGAAGAGACGGCUAACUCUGUGCCAGCAGCCGCGGUAAUACAGAGGUCUCAAGCGUUGUUCGGAAUCACUGGGCGUAAAGCGUGCGUAGGCUGUUUCGUAAGUCGUGUGUGAAAGGCGCGGGCUCAACCCGCGGACGGCACAUGAUACUGCGAGACUAGAGUAAUGGAGGGGGAACCGGAAUGCUCGGUGUAGCAGUGAAAUGCGUAGAUAUCGAGAGGAACACUCGUGGCGAAGGCGGGUUCCUGGACAUUAACUGACGCUGAGGCACGAAGGCCAGGGGAGCGAAAGGGAUUAGAUACCCGGGUAGUC
rnacentral:rRNA from 1 species